AAUUUGCAUGUUAUGUUAUAUGAAUAUGGGCUGAUGGUUGAGUUAGGAAAAGCAGUAGCCUAAUAACAGCAAGGACAGGCUAAUGUUCGCUGCUUGAUCACAGAACUCGUAACUAUCCAUCAUCUCAGCUUUCCAGAAUCGUGGCCUACCUGUAAAUCAGAUAUAGGCUAACACAGAGGUUCCUAAAACCUGAAGGAAUGCUUGAUGUCAGUGAAAGGCAGUGGAAAGAAUAUUAUUGUCAUAAUCAUAAAUGUUUUAUUUAAAACUUGCUAAGAGUAUGACCUUAAAAGUUCUCAUCAGAUUAAAUACCUGUGUGGUGACAGGUGUUAACUAGGCUCAUUGUGAUCACCCUGCGGCACAUACGAACAUCAGAGUGUGUGUGUAUGUCUGUUACACUGCAACAAAAAGGUUUUAGGGAACAUAAAAGAAUCGUAAGUACAAGUGUAGAUUACAGAGAACAAUUUGUAUCGUUAAAGGAUGUAAGUUAUUAGGCUGAUGGUGUUAAACACACGUUUACUUUGAAAAUGUGACUUUCUCGGGGUGCCUGGCUGUCUCAGUCAUAAGAGUGUGCGACUCUUGAUCUGCAGAUCGUGAAUUUGAGCCCCACGUUGGAAGUAGAGAUUACUAAAAAACAAACAAAAGAAAACAUGUUUUUCUUGGUGAGGAGACCUCGCAUACCUGACUCAGGUGAAGCCAGUUCCGGAAGCUACAGUCAGGCCAUGUUAUACCCCCUUUGCCGGGUGGAGGGCAGAGGGUCAGGGCUGCGGCUCGGGUGUUGAACACGCCGGUUGCCCCGUGUGGUCUGGCUGCCCCAGACCAACAUGCAGUUGGAGGAGGUUCUUUGCAGGAAGUCUGAGGGGCAGCCUCAGUCCCCGCCUAAGAUGGCAGAGGAGGUGUGACUUCUGGCGCUCCAGCACCUGAUGACCGGAGGUGACAUCACUUGUGACCACUUGGGGGCCCAAAGUCGGCAGACGCCUUGAGCUUCUCUAAGUCAGCAUCGCGAACCUCCCCCAUCCCACCAGUGAGUGCUAGGAAGUCAGGCUCCCCUGCUUCCGCUGCAGGGAGGGGCCGCUUUCAUGCCAUUUACGUUUGGUUUCUGUGUAUCUUGUGGUCAGCAAAUGAUUUUCCAGAGAAUAAAGAGGCACGGGCCAAUUUAUUGGUAAAGUAGGAGGGGGAUAAGCUUGACCACAUCCGUCCAUGGUUUGGGUAUGGAGGAUGCCACCCUGGGGCGAAGAGACCAGAACCCUCCUCACUGCAUAUCCAUCUUUGGAAGUGAAUUUGGGGACCUGGGGCAAAGGCCACAGUGCUCUCAGAGCUGCCCUCCCUCGGGUGUGACCCCCACCUGCUUACAUACCGCAUCCCUCGGGCCGUACUGUGGGAUGGGCGGCCGAACUACCCCUUCUGUCAGGAAGCACCUGCAGUCCAUGGCUCUGAACACUGCUGCGCAGGGAGGGCAGGCACAGUGAGAGCAGUGGGUGGGGACACCGGAGUGCGUGUGGCACGCCGCUGGGCACAAGGGGGCCGAGGGGACCGAGUGUACCUCGCUUGCUGCGGUGAGGGGGCGUCCCAGGGCCUUUCCCCCAGAUUCCUACAACAGGGCUCUUCUGUUGGUUAUCUUGGGCUGACAUUCUAAACUGAAACGCAUGACCCCAUGUCUGGGUUAGAGCUGGCCCUGUGGCGCAAGAUGGACUCUCCCCCUGGAACUUACUACAAAUGCCACAGCAGGCCUCAGGGCUUACCCCUCAUGUGGAGGCCAGGCCAGCAGGACAGGCUGGUGCCCAGGUCUGCACAGCAGUAGGUGGCAGUAUUUUAAUGCCCGAGAGCCCAGGGCCUGGCCCUGAUGCUGACCCUGUGGACUUGCCAGCAGGACAGGCCCACCGGAGGGAGGACAGGCGGCAGCUGGCUCGCGGGUCCUGUUAGCGCUCUGAUGAAGUCCCAGCAGCUGGGGACAGCCCCCGCACGAACUCCUGGCGGGAGGAAGCUGCUCGGACACAAAACCACCUUGUCACCGGGUCACUGGCCUGGGAGUUCGGAUCCAUAUGCCCACCUGUACCCCAUGCGCACCUGUACCCGGCACGG